rnacentral:rRNA from 1 species
GCAGACUCCGGGGAUGCCGCGGGCGCUGGCGUAGUCCUUUUCGUUGUCCUAGCGAGUCGCGCUGUAUUUCAUACCCACCAUCGUCGCCGUCAUUCGCCAUGUUCCUAACGUUGGCUCGGUGAUCGUCAUCAACUUCUUCUUGGGCUGGUCCUUGAUCGGCUGGGGUUGUGGCGCUAGCGAUGGCGGCACGGUCGGCUCCUCCGCCCAUCCAG